rnacentral:sRNA from 1 species
AUUUUACAUUUCAUAGCUUAAGCGAUCUGUAAAUAUAAACCUUCCAUCUUGCCACCGGUGGUGAGACAGAGUGGGAGCCGCCCCUCCCAGGGAGGAUGGGGUGGGAGUAGCCUCUCCCCUCCGUGAGCUUCCUUUUCUCCCUACAGAUCAUUAAUGGACUGGUGCAGACCACAGGCUGGCCCAGUGUCGUCACCUGCCUCAGCAACUGGUUUGGAAAAGGAAGGCGUGGCCUGAUCAUGGGGAUUUGGAACUCCCACACCUCCGUGGGCAACAUUCUGGGGUCCUUGAUUGCCGGUUACUGGGUGUCUACGUGCUGGGGCCUGUCAUUUAUCGUGCCCGGGGCCAUCGUUGGAGCCAUGGGGAUAGUGUGCUUUCUCUUUCUCAUCGAACACCCAAAAGACAUCAAGUGCUCCUCCACCCUCCCCACGGUAAGAGCUCCUGUGUUUCUGUUACCUUCCCAGCCCACACUGCCAGCGCGGAAAAGCUGGCCACAGACUCACGCAUGACGAGAGUCUGUCUCAGCCAUCGCCACCCACUGAGCCCUUCCUGCUGACCAGCUCCUAAGUCCUCAGCUCUCCCUGCAGAGGUUGCCUGAAACAUGUCACCCCCUGGCUUGGCUGGCCACCUCAGUGGCUCCCAUAAGAUCUCCUCCACCUGUUUACCCUCUGCCCUGUCAAGCGUUAGGAUAUCAACCAGAUCCUUGCUCUAGGGACAGUGCCCGAAUUGUGCAGCAGGGGGCGCCAGAGCCGCUUCCUGUUGAGGCUUAACAGCUCAUGGGCUUCAUUGUGUGUGUGUGUGUGUGUGUGUGUGUGUGUGUGU